GGGGAGGCUAACCAUGCAAGUCGAGGGGUAUCCCGAGCAAUCGGGAGAGACCGGCGCACGGGUGAGUAACGCGUAUGCAACCUGCCUGUUACAGGGGGAUAGCCCGGAGAAAUCCGGAUUAAUACCGCAUAGUUUUGUGAUACCGCAUGGUAUUACAAAUAAAGUUUCGGCGGUAACAGAUGGGCAUGCGUGACAUUAGCUAGUUGGUGAGGUAACGGCUCACCAAGGCUACGAUGUCUAGGGGUUCUGAGAGGAAGAUCCCCCACACUGGUACUGAGACACGGACCAGACUCCUACGGGAGGCAGCAGUGAGGAAUAUUGGUCAAUGGGCGAGAGCCUGAACCAGCCAUCCCGCGUGCAGGAAGAAUGCCCUAUGGGUUGUAAACUGCUUUUUCGCAUGAAGAACAUCCCGAACGUGUUCGGGACUGACGGUAGUGCGUGAAUAAGCACCGGCUAACUCCGUGCCAGCAGCCGCGGUAAUACGGAGGGUGCAAGCGUAAUCCGGAUCUAUUGGGUUUAAAGGGUGCGUAGGCGGCGAUAUAAGUCAGUGGUGAAAUGCUGCAGCUCAACUGUAGAACUGCCAUUGAAACUGAAUUGCUUGAGUAAUCUUGAAG
rnacentral:rRNA from 1 species